AAAACUUCAUUUAUCACACACCAAUCAACGUUCAUUCACCUGGAAAAUACGUACUAAUUUUCAAACAGUUGGCAAUAAAAUCGCUGAUUGCGAGGAAUGUAAUUGCUCCGCUUUGCUAAAUAAGUUCGCAGUUUUGCGCUACGACAGCAGUCGAAUUUGCCUGUGUCUUCAGCCACCACUACGCAUACGCAACCUCCUGCACUCUUACUUUUGCCAACUAAAUACUAAAAGUAUUUUUUUUUUUAUAGUUAACGCUCAGCGCAAAGUUGCUCCUUUACCAAAGACGUUUCCCCCGCCGAUUCCACGUUUACCCUCUCUCAACAAACAACUAUAGAAAAAGGACGACGAGGGAGAUUGAAAGCGCAACCGAAAAGAAGUUCAACAAAACUGGAGCAGUUCAUAGUUUUGGUUAUUUACAAAUCUUGUUGAUUUGUUGAUUUCGAGAAAAGUUGUAUCAUUAGCAA